GAUGAACGCUAGCGAUAGGCUUAACACAUGCAAGUCGAGGGGCAGCAUGGUCUUAGCUUGCUCAGACUGAUGGCGACCGGCGCACGGGUGCGUAACGCGUAUGCAACUUGCCUCACAGAGGGGGAUAACCCGUCGAAAGACGGACUAAUACCGCGUACACUUGGGAUAGGGCAUCCUGACCCAAGGAAAUGAAAUUCGCUGUGAGAUAGGCAUGCGUCCCAUUAGCUAGUUGGUGAGGUAACGGCUCACCAAGGCGACGAUGGGUAGGGGAACUGAGAGGUUGAACCCCCACACUGGUACUGAGACACGGACCAGACUCCUACGGGAGGCAGCAGUGAGGAAGAUUGGGCAAUGGGCGAGAGCCUGAACCAGCCAAGUCGCGUGAAGGAUGACUGUCUUAUGGAUUGUAAACUUCUUUUAGACGGGAAUAACAAGAGCCACGUGUGGCUCCCUGCAUGUACCGUAUGAAUAAGCAUCGGCUAACUCCGUG
rnacentral:rRNA from 1 species